AAUAUAUUUUUGAAAAAAAAACUUGGCGAGAAAUUCUUUUUUCGAAAUUUUUUGGCAGGAAUUUUUUUUUAGAAUAUUUUGGGCAAAAAAUAGUAAUAUUUCAUUUUGUUAACCUAAAACAAUAUCUAAAUAAGGGUAAAAUGGUCAUUAAAAUUUAAAGAGGGUAGAAAUGAAAAUGGCUAAAGAAAAAGGGUAGAGUUGAAAAUGGGUAUCAUGAAAAGGGCAUUAAAAAAAAA
rnacentral:sRNA from 1 species